CGCCUUUCAGAGAGCCAAGGAAAGUUGUUCAGGAGGUCUCUGUUGUCUAACAGUGUCCUCGGAAACUGAAACAUUCCACCCUGCAAGGAAGCUCCAUAAACAGGAAGGUAAACUGCUCAAAAUAGCUCCAGGCAGUCCCUGAAACUGACAAGAUUCACCAGGUCCCUCCCUGUCAGAUUAAGUAAUAAAAGUGGAGAGUCCCACACAGACAAGACAAGAUGCAAGGAAGGCGCUGGAACCAGACCAUCUGCCUGAAAGAAGCAGAAACCAGCCGAGCUGCGUGAAACAGGAACUGGACGUGGCAGAUGUCACAAUGUCACAAUCCUAUAGGAAUUAGAGACCUCCUGCCACAAAGAAUCUGGAAGGGGUGGAGAACUGCAGGGUUCUGAAGUCACCAGAGGGCAAAGAGUGGAUCAGUAAACAGGAAGCAAAAAUAAAUACAGUGGAAGUUAAACAAGCCCCAUCAUUUACACAGUAGUGAACAGCGGACAAAGUAAAGCCGAAGAAAACGAGCAAGCCGCGUCUCCACCAAACACGCCAACAAAUGGAAACAAGGUCUGAGGGAGGAGAGAAGAAGUCUGCCUCCGAAUCAAAGAAAGAGAAACGGCUGAUAAUGGCGACCAGUUUGGCGAUUGCUGGGUACCAGAUGUUGAGGAAGCAACAUCUCAAUCAACAGGUUCACUAAGGUCCACAUGGUCAGAACCAUCCAAGGCCACUUUCAUCCUGGAGGAAACCAGAAGGUCUAAUGUAAAUGUGCUUCCAACAUUAAAAAGCAUUAAGAGAAAUUGACAUUUUCAAUAAAGGGGAAAUUACAAGAGGUGUCAGGACAAACACUGGAUGCUGGAUGAACUGCCAUGAGUACACAUGCUCUUCCUCCUCUUACCUCUCCUCUUCCUCCCUCCCCCACCCAGGUCUUCAUUCCUCUCUCCUGCACUAUAUCACGUGGACUUAGCACAGCAUCACAGGGACUUAAUGCAGCAUUCCAGCAGACGUUAGCUCAGCCAGUCUCUAUUUCUGGCUCUCUUUGUAAGCUGCUGCACAGCUCUGGCUUCUGUGAGACAAGAGGUUGAGCUAGUCCACUGAGUAUUUUUUGGUGUAUCUCUCAGGAUACAGGGUGAAAUCUCAAUGUGUUUUCUUUUAUCUUCUUUUUGUUUUGUAAAAUUCUGAACCAGUGGUAUCUGUUCCUCUGCCCUCUGAAACAACCUAUAAAUAUUGGCCAUCUGUCCUCUCACAAAAUGUUUUGUUCAGAAUCGUAAGGAUCACACCACUUAUU